rnacentral:siRNA from 1 species
ACGGGUUUACAUUUUUGGCGGA